UUUUUUUUUUUUUUGGAUUUUAUUAUAAUGUGUUGUAAAGAUAUUUAUUGUAAUUGAUUGAUCAUAUACAUAUGAAGAUUUAAGUUGUAUAUUUUAGACUGUGGAAAGAUUAUAUAAUUGUAGAUUUAUGAAAUAAAAAUGUUGAUUUGAAAAAAUAAAAUAUUGAUUUAUCAAAUUCUUAUUUGAGCUUGCUCUCAUUGGUUUUUAUCUGCUACUCGAUGCAUUCUUAUUAAGACUGAUUUAUGAUGCUGAUGCAUAUUAUAAAGAAUGCAGACCUUGAAGAACUACGUGAAUUGGGAUCAAGUACUUUUGGUUAGCAGUGCUAAGUGAAAUGGUACUAAAUUCCAUAAGCUUUAUGUAAAUAAAGAAUCACAAACUAAUUUGGUGAUCUCUAUCUUUGUUCCAUCAUCUAAACAAAUUUGUGAUGGUUUUGUUUGUGUGAUAGAGAUUUUAUCAUAUUCAUUACAGCAUUGAUUUUUUAUAUUCAUACUGUGAAUUUAGAUCUUUGCAGAACUUUACCUACCUAUUCUUGCCUUGAUUUUAGGUUGGAGGAAGCUCUUACUAUGUGAACUUUGGUCAUAGCUUGGGUGGCGCUGGUUAUUUGCGUGGUAGUGGCUCUAGGUCAUACUACUAAGGGAGGCUAUCAAUCAGUAGAACAUCUAUCAGAAUUUUAUGAACUUUGCUUUGAGGAAGACAUGCUGCCAAGCGGGAUUGCAGUAUUUGAAGCAUCAACAUCGGUAGUGCCCUGCUCUAAUAACAACUCUACGACCACUUUCUCUCCUGCACCCACAUGUUUGCCCAGAACCCCGCCGUAGCCUCAAUGCACCAGCAAAUAUUGUGGCACGGGCUAGUACUCAUGAGUUUGGUAAGCAGUAUAGGGGUAUCCAUGCUGGCCGUCGAGAUCGUCAGUUUUUGUAUAGUAGGUUUAGGCUUUGUCGGACGUGUCGAUAUGAUGUGUCCCUUUUGACUUGCCUUACUUUCUUGGGUAAUUCUGAUCGCAUUGUCACUGGAAGCUACUCUGGUGAAGUAAAAAUUUUUGAUACUAGCAAUGGCAAUUUAUUAAAGAGUUAUGGUAUCCAUCAGAAACCCGUUCUUAUGAUUCAG